rnacentral:rRNA from 1 species
UACGUAGGGUGCAAGCGUUGUCCGGAAUUAUUGGGCGUAAAGAGCUCGUAGGCGGUCUGUCGCGUCUGCUGUGAAAACUCAGGGCUUAACCCUGAGCUUGCAGUGGGUACGGGCAGACUAGAGUGCGGUAGGGGAGACUGGAAUUCCUGGUGUAGCGGUGAAAUGCGUAGAGAUCCGGAGGAACACCAAAGGCGAAGGCAGUGUCCUGGGAAGUACCUGACGCUCAGGUGCGAAAGCCAGGGGAGCGAACGGG